GCAUUUAAAGAAGAAGACAAAAUCAAAUCAAAAACAACAGAAAAAUAGUUAAAAAGAAAUUUAUUAUUAGGAAUGAAUAUUUGGCGCAAAGUUCUUUUCGCUACGGUUCCUCUCCAUUCUUAUUCUCGUCAU
rnacentral:ribozyme from 1 species